rnacentral:rRNA from 1 species
UACGGGGGAUGCAAGCGUUAUCCGGAAUUAUUGGGCGUAAAGCGUCCGUAGGUGGUUUUAAAAGUCUGUUGUCAAAGCGCGAGGCUUAACCUCGUACAGGCAGUGGAAACUAUAAGACUAGAGUGCGGUAAGGGUAGAGGGAAUUUCCAGUGUAGCGGUGGAUGCGUAGAUAUUGGAAAGAACACCGGUGGCGAAGGCGCUCUACUGGGCCUGCACUGACACUGAGGGACGAAAGCUAGGGGAGCAAACAGG